rnacentral:lncRNA from 1 species
UGCACGGCUAUUUGGUUUUGGUUCAAAUCAAUCAAAAGCUGACCUUAAUUUUUUGGGCGACAGUCUCCAAACCAUUUAGGAGAAUCGCAUUUGAUUUUUUUUUUUUUUUUUUUUUGUGUGUGUGUUUGGAUGUUGUUGCAACUACUAUUUUUGGUGCAUGCGCAUUGAGUAACACCCAGCAUGUGUAAAUUCGAUUUAUGUGCGAUAGUAUGCAUAAUAUAAGAGAGGUAAAUUAUAUUUGAAAAAUUAAAUGUGACAAACUCAAUUUAAAUUGUGUUUAUGAAAUUUAAAUUUAAGACGCUUGACUUGAAAAAUAUCCACUCUGCCACUUGAUCAUUUUCGACGAGACAAAAACCUUUGUUGUAGUUUUGUUACGAUUCAAUAAGAA